rnacentral:rRNA from 1 species
CCACGAUCGAAACGUUGAGACAAGCAGGGACGGAGAAGGAUAUGCCAAGCCGCUCAUUGGAUUGCGGUUCAAGCCAGUAGGUUGGUCUCGUAGGAGUCGACAGACACAAACGCGAGACUAAGGCCGAGAGGUGAUGAGGUAGAAGCUUCGGCUUCGUAACUUGGUGAUUCCACGCUUCCUAGAAAAGCUGCGUGUGGAGUUAGAUCGUGACCGUACCGCAAACCGACUCAGGUGGGUGGGAUGAAUAUUCCAAGGCGCGCGAGAGAACGCUGGUUAAGGAACUAGGCAAAAUGACACCGUAGCUUCGGGAGAAGGUGUGCCCUUUUGCGUGAACCGUGCACACGGGAAGCGCGAGAGGGUCGCAGAGAAAUGGGGGUUGCGACUGUUUACUAAAAACAUAGGACUCUGCGAAGUCGUAAGACGACGUAUAGGGUCUGACGCCUGCCCGGUGCUGGAAGGUUAAGAGGAGAAGUCAGCGCAAGCGGAGCUUCGAAUCGAAGCCCCAGUAAACGGCGGCCGUAACAAUAACGGUCCUAAGUAGCGAAAUUCCUUGUCGGGUAAGUUCCGACCUGCACGAGGGCGUAACGACAUCCCCACUGUCUCGACCAGCGACUCGGCGAAAUUGUAUCGGGGGUGAAGAUACCCUCUACCCGCGGCAAGACGGAAAGACCCCAUGAACCUUUACUGCAACUUGACAGUGAAGUUCGGGACAAUCUGCGUAGGAUAGGUGGGAGGCUUUGAAGUCGGGGUUCUGGCCUCGAUGGAGCCAACGUUGAAAUACCACCCUGAUUGUUCUGGACUUCUAACCCAGGCCCGUUAUCCGGGUCGGGGACACUGUCUGGUGGGCAGUUUGACUGGGGCGGUCGCCUUCUAAAACGUAACGAAGGCGCACGAAGGUUCGCUCAGGCUGAUUGGAAACCAGCCGUAGAGUGUAAAGGCACAAGCGAGCUUAACUGUGAGAUCGACAGAUCGAACAGGUGCGAAAGCAGGUCUUAGUGAUCCGGUGGCUCAGAGUGGAAUGGCCAUCGCUCAUCGGACAAAAGGUACUCUGGGGAUAACAGGCUGAUCGCGCCUGAGAGUUCAUAUCGGCGGCGCGGUUUGGCACCUCGAUGUCGGCUCAUCGCAUCCUGGGGCUGGAGCAGGUCCCAAGGGUUCGGCUGUUCGCCGAUUAAAGCGGUACGCGAGCUGGGUUUAGAACGUCGUGAGACAGUUCGGUCCCUAUCUGCCGUGGGCGUAGGACACUUGAGAGGAGCUAUCCAUAGUACGAGAGGACCCGGAUGGACGAACCCCUAGUGAGCCGGUUAUCACGCCAAGUGGUAUAGCCGGGUAGCCAUGUUCGGAACGGAUAACCGCUGAAAGCAUCUAAGCGGGAAGCCGGCCUCAAGACUAGGUGUCCCGGGACGCAAGUCCCCUAAAGACCCCUUGUAGACUACAAGGUUGAUAGGCAGGGUGUGGACAGGCAGUAAUGUCUGAAGCUAACCUGUACUAAUAGGUCGUGCGGCUUGACUUA